UGGACCAGUGAUGAAUGUCAUCGGGUAUCUGAAACAAGAAUUUUGAUUAAACCCAUCUGCCACUCUGAGGUCCGU
rnacentral:snoRNA from 1 species